rnacentral:rRNA from 1 species
AACGAACGCUGGCGGCGUGGCUAAGACAUGCAAGUCGAACGGACUAUCGAAUUGGGUAACCGAAACGAUAGUUAGUGGCGAAAGGGUGAGGAACGGAUAGGUAACGUACCUCGGGCUUCGGAAUAGCGCCUCGAAAGGGGCGGUAAUACCGGAUGACAUCACGAAUUGUAAGGUUUGUGAUCAAAGAUUUAUCAGCCUGAGAGCGGCCUAUUUCCUAUCAGCUAGUUGGUGAGGUAAUGGCCCACCAAGGCAACGACGGGUAGCGGGACUGAGAGGUUGACCCGCCACAUCGGGACUGAGACACUGCCCGGACCUCCACGGAGGGCUGCAGUAACGAAUAUUGGGCAAUGGGCGAAAGCCUGACCCAGCGACGCCGCGUGUAGGAUGAAGUUCUUCGGAAUGUAAACUACUGUCAGGGACUAGAAAAUUUCGAUUGAUCAGUCCCAGAGGAAGUCACGGCUAACUUCGUGCCAGCAGCCGCGGUAAUGUCUGUACU